rnacentral:rRNA from 1 species
AGUGAACGCUGGCGGUAGGCCUAACACAUGCAAGUCGAACGGCAGCACAGUAAGAGCUUGCUCUUACGGGUGGCGAGUGGCGGACGGGUGAGGAAUACAUCGGAAUCUACUUUUUCGUGGGGGAUAACGUAGGGAAACUUACGCUAAUACCGCAUACGACCUACGGGUGAAAGCAGGGGAUCUUCGGACCUUUCGCGAUUGAAUGAGCCGAUGUCGGAUUAGCUAGUUGGCGGGGUAAAGGCCCACCAAGGCGACGAUCCGUAGCUGGUCUGAGAGGAUGAUCAGCCACACGGGAACUGAGACACGGUCCAGACUCCUACGGGAGGCAGCAGUGGGGAAUAUUGGACAAGGGGCGCAAGCCUGAUCCAGCCAUACCGCGUGGGUGAAGAAGGCCUUCGGGUUGUAAAGCCCUUUUGUUGGGAAAGAAAAGCAGCAGGUUAAGACCCCGCUGUUCUGACGGUACCCAAAGAAUAAGCACCGGCUAACUUCGG